GAUGAACGCUGGCGGCGUGCCUAAUACAUGCAAGUCGAGCGAACAGACGAGGAGCUUGCUCCUCUGACGUUAGCGGCGGACGGGUGAGUAACACGUGGAUAACCUACCUAUAAGACUGGGAUAACUUCGGGAAACCGGAGCUAAUACCGGAUAAUAUAUUGAACCGCAUGGUUCAAAAGUGAAAGACGGUUUUGCUGUCACUUAUAGAUGGAUCCGCGCCGCAUUAGCUAGUUGGUAAGGUAACGGCUUACCAAGGCGACGAUGCGUAGCCGACCUGAGAGGGUGAUCGGCCACACUGGAACUGAGACACGGUCCAGACUCCUACGGGAGGCAGCAGUAGGGAAUCUUCCGCAAUGGGCGAAAGCCUGACGGAGCAACGCCGCGUGAGUGAUGAAGGUCUUCGGAUCGUAAAACUCUGUUAUUAGGGAAGAACAAAUGUGUAAGUAACUAUGCACGUCUUGACGGUACCUAAUCAGAAAGCCACGGCUAACUACGUG
rnacentral:rRNA from 1 species